rnacentral:rRNA from 1 species
GAAGGGGGCUAGCGUUGUUCGGAUUUACUGGGCGUAAAGGGCGCGUAGGCGGUGCAAUAAGUCAGGCGUGAAAGCCCCGGGCUCAACCCGGGAAUAGCGCUUGACACUGUUGCGCUUGAAUCCAGGAGAGGAUGGCGGAAUUCCCAGUGUAGAGGUGAAAUUCGUAGAUAUUGGGAAGAACACCAGUGGCGAAGGCGGCCAUCUGGCCUGGAAUUGACGCUGAGGCGCGAAAGCGUGGGGAGCAAACAGGAUUAGAUACCCUGGUAGUCCACGCCGUAAACGAUGAGUGCUAGACGUCGGGAAGCUUGCUUUUCGGUGUCGACGCUAACGCAUUAAGCACUCCGCCUGGGGAGUACGGCCGCAAGGUUA